rnacentral:rRNA from 1 species
AGGUGCUGCAUGGCUGUCGUCAGCUCGUGUCGUGAGAUGUUGGGUUAAGUCCCGCAACGAGCGCAACCCUUGUCAUUAGUUGCUACGAAAGGGCACUCUAAUGAGACUGCCGGUGACAAACCGGAGGAAGGUGGGGAUGACGUCAAGUCCUCAUGGCCCUUAUGGGUAGGGCUUCACACGUCAUACAAUGGUACAUACAGAGGGCCGCCAACCCGCGAGGGGGAGCUAAUCCCAGAAAGUGUAUCGUAGUCCGGAUUGUAGUCUGCAACUCGACUACAUGAAGUUGGAAUCGCUAGUAAUCGCGGAUCANCAUGUCACGGUGAAUACGUUCCCGGGUCU